rnacentral:rRNA from 1 species
AUACGGAGGGAGCUAGCGUUGUUCGGAAUUACUGGGCGUAAAGCGCACGUAGGCGGAUUGGUCAGUUGGAGGUGAAAUCCCAGGGCUCAACCCUGGAACUGCCUUCAAUACUGCCAGUCUAGAGAUCGUAAGAGGUGAGUGGAAUUCCUAGUGUAGAGGUGAAAUUCGUAGAUAUUAGGAGGAACACCAGUGGCGAAGGCGGCUCACUGGUCCGAUACUGACGCUGAGGUGCGAAAGCGUGGGGAGCAAACAGAAUUAGAAACCCCGGUAGUCC